rnacentral:tRNA from 1 species
CGGGGUGUAGCUCAGUUGGUAGAGCGUACGACUCGGGUUCGUAAGGCCGCUGGUUCAAGUCCAGUCACCCCGACCA